rnacentral:misc_RNA from 1 species
CGCAUAUUGCGCCUUUUGGCAUUCCGAAAGGCAUGCCUGUUCGAGCGUCAUUACAACCCUCAAACUUAGGUUUGAUGUUGGGCAUAUUUGCCGUUAUGGCAUGCCUAAAAUUUAGUGAUGGUAACCUUUAACCACAGGCGCAUACAUGUCGCUAAUGAUGGGGAUUGGUGGCCAUUUUCAACCACUUUUAUCAAAUGUUGACCUCGGAUCAGGUAGGGAUACCCGCUGAACUUAA